UUAUUACUGCACUACAUAAUUUUGUGUCCACUAAAAUGUAACAAUUUCUGAAGUUCUGGUCCUUAAACCCACAAUGUUACCAUCAAGUUUUACUUAAUAUUCCCAUUUCACAUAUUACAGUGGACACCUCACAUAUUCUUUGCUGACUCCCCUCUGUUGUUCCAUUCUGCAGGUGUAACUGAGAAAGAAGCUGCCUUACAGCUGGCCUCUAAAGCUUUACUGAAGAAAAGCACAGACAGAAGUAUCACGUGCAAAGAAAGUGCUAUCAUAGAAAGUGCAGCAGAGGACAUGGGAACACAACAACAGGUGGAGGAAACUCCAGUGACUGUGCCUGACACUGUGAACAUGUGUGAGACAGUAACCCUGUGUGGAGAAGCCUAGGAAACCGACAGCCGAAAAAUAUCAUAUUGAGCAAUUGAAUACUUCAAAAUGUGAGAGGGACUUGUCACCAGUGGAGGAUUGAUUGGGGCAUGAUGAUGUGCAAUAUAAAUAAAUUUUUUUAUGUUUAA